AUACAUUUAUGUAUUCGUUAUUUUCCUUCCUCCGAGGUUUAUUGUCGUAAAAUGUUUCUAAUCGCGCGUUAAUAAUCAAAAUAAUGUUUAUCAACAUCGUCGUCGUCGUCGUCGUCGUUGUCAUCAUCGUGGUGGAAAGAAAAGGCAGAGAUAAUAUUUCGUAACGGGGUGAUAACACAGUCUGCGCUUCUUGUUAAUCCCAAACGUUGUGACUGCGAACUGCAUACAUACAUUGGUUAUCCAAAUCAACAUCGUAUUAUACUUGUUGAACGAAUAAAACGCUGAAAAAACUUGUGUCGCAAACGGUUUCUCGAUUGGUGUGAUUUUCUGUGUUCUCGUGGUCAAAGUUUCAUUGGUUAGCCGUUGGCUGUCAACUGAUUAAACAACAUUACGUUAUACUGGUGCAUCUGGCGAGUACAUAAAACGUCAUAUCGCGAAACGUAUGUUACAAACGAACAUUACAUACGCGUGAACAAUUGUAAAUUUUUAUCUUAAUUUUUAUUCAUAUUUCAUUCCCCACGGUUUUAAUCAAAAGUUAUAAACUAUCGCGAAAAAGUUUGAUAGUAAGACUUGGUCGAUGAUAAAACCUAAGAAACAGUCAACAGAACGAGGACAAAUCCACCGACUCGAGCCAGUUUCGAAUUCGUCGUAAAGAAACUGAUACAAGCAAAAAAAAAAAAAAAAACAACACAAAACACAAGAGGAGAGAAGAAGAGAAGACCAGCAGCAUCGAUAACAUAAAUAUACACGUGUGUGUAGUACAAAGGAUAAACAAGAAAGUAACGAAAAUACGAAGUAAGAAAAUAUAAUGGUGCUGUAGUUUUAUGAAAGAUUAGAAUCGUUGGGCCAACGUCGAGAGCGCGGAGCGUGGAACUCGUGAUAGCGUUGCGAGGCGGCGAGCAGCCGUUGGAGUAACCAACUCGUGGUACUGAGUCGGCGUCAUCGAUGACUUGAGAAGGAGAGGCGAGGAGCGGAGCGAAGGAGGCGGCACUCGUUCGCCGGAAUCGUUGCUCGAGUCCCGAGCCCAAGUCGUGGCGGCGUCAUACCGGUAGAAAACUGUGCGUGCCUGCGGUAGCAACAGCGGCAGCGAUACAACGGAGGUGUUUGUAAUCGUACUGGUUUUCGGUUUGAUUCCGUGCGAUGAGUAUCACGUGAACAAUCGCCCUGUGUGCAUCGCUCGUCGAGUGCCGCGUGUAUAAUUUAUCGCUUCGAUCGUUGUUGUUCUCCAGUCCCUCGUUUUCCUCGAUUAUUUGUGAAUAUCGCGUUCCUACCGCGUUUUUAAAACUGACGUAAAACCAGCCGAAGGGGGAUAUUCCGAUUCAGUUUCCACUUGUUCUUCUUCGCUACUUCACCGUUUGCAGAACUCGUAGGAGAACAACAAAGGCUCAGUGGUUCUUGAGACGUGAAAGAAGAAAUAUACACACAUAGAAGAAAGGCAGAGAGAAAGAGCGAAAAGGAGAAAGUGAGCGAGGAAGAGAGAUAGAAAGAAAGAGAGAGAGAGUGAGAGAGGGGGGAGAGGAGAGAGAGAAAAAGAAAGAAAGUAUACUUUAAACAAAGUUGAUAACAGAGAUAGAAAGUAGCGACGAAAAAGGAGUUAAAACGAAAAAGAAAAUACAACUAAAUACGCAUGAACACAUGAAAAAAUUUGUGCUUUUUGUUCCGCGAUUAAAAUAAUAUAUCGAAUAGAAGUUGAAGUUUGGUGAUAAAGCAGUAAAAAGAAAAACAAAAAAAAAAAAAAAAAAAGAAAACAAAAACCUUAACAAACAAAAACUAUAUAAAGAACGAGAUAUAAAUAAAGAAAUGGCGAUGGUAAACAUGAAUAACCUAUUGAACGGAAAAGAUUCGAGGUGGCUACAGUUGGAAGUGUGCCGAGAGUUUCAACGUAACAAAUGUACGAGGCCUGACACGGAGUGCAAAUUUGCACAUCCACCAGCCAACGUUGAGGUACAAAAUGGACGAGUCACCGCUUGCUACGACAGUAUCAAGGGUCGAUGUAACAGAGAGAAACCACCUUGCAAGUACUUCCAUCCGCCACAGCAUCUUAAAGACCAGUUACUAAUCAACGGUCGGAAUCAUCUCGCGUUGAAAAACGCCUUGAUGCAUCAGAUGGGCCUUACACCAGGACAGACCUUAGUGCCAGGCCAGGUGCCCGCUGUGCAGGAGGUGACUGCACCACCUCCUUCGUCACACCAUCAUCAUCUCCAACAGCAAAUCCAGCAACAGCUCCUCGCUACCCACGCCUUUAUGGCGACGAAUCCGUACCUGACAGGAAUGCCGCAGGUCGGUAGCACCUACAGCCCGUACUUCGCGCCUGGCCCCAUAAUGCCAGCGAUAAUGGGUCCAGCCGACCCGACGGGGGGCGUCGGAAGUCCGCUUGGCGUAGUUCCGCAGACGGUCGCCGUACCCCAGAAAAUGCCAAGGAGCGAUCGACUCGAGGUAUGUCGUGAGUUCCAGCGCGGGGCGUGCAAACGCGGCGAGACGGAGUGUCGGUUUGCGCACCCCCUGGAGACGGUGCAGGCGAACGAGGACGGCUCUGUGACGGUCUGCAUGGACGCAGUCAAGGGCCGAUGCAAUCGAGACCCCUGCCGCUAUUUCCAUCCCCCUCUGCACCUUCAAGCCCACAUUAAGGCCGCACAAUCUCGGGCUAGCAUUGCGCAGACGGCGACUGUGCAGACGAAUGUACCGGGAAUGGGCACCGUCGCAGGAGUGCCAGGAGUGCCAACGGGACUCCAGAACGCAGCUGCAGCGGCCGCUGCAGCCAAUAUGGCCGCCGUCGAACUCGGCAAGAAACGGAUGCGCGAUCCCAAUGACGACCUGCUAAUGAUGGACAUGAAAUCAGUCGGGUCAUUCUACUACGAGAAUUUUGCCUUCCCCGGAAUGGUACCGUACAAACGUCCAGCCGGCGACAAGUCGGGCAUGCCUGUGUACCAGCCCUCGGGAGCGGCGACGACCUACCAGCAGCUGAUGCAGCUACAGCAGCCAUUCGUCCCCGUCUCAUUUACUGGACACCCUCCCGGUGUGCCAAGAUUUUAAUCGUCAGUUAUGCAAUCGACCAGCCUGCAAGUUCGUCCAUCUACAUGACGGAAGCGUAGAGGUGAUCGACAACCGUGUCACGGUAUGCCGAGACGCAGCUAAGGGUGCCUGCGUACGUCCCCAGUGUAAAUAUUACCACAUACCGGUAUCUCUACCACCGGCACCCCUGAUGGCGUUCUCAGCAUCGGUAUCAUCGUCAUCGCCGUCGUCAGCAUCAUCAGCAUCAUCAGCAUCACCUGCAACAGCCUGCGGCAACACCAUUCAAACGUCAGCAAGUCGUAUAAGUAAUAAUGCUAACGUAACGUCGUCGAAUGCCGUAGUUUUCGCGGCGGCGACUAUCAACGAAAAAACGAACAGCAACGCAGCUUUAGCCCUGCAGUAGCUAUAAAAUAAUAAUCUCUUUGAAUAAAUAUUAGAAGGAAAGAAAAACCUUGAGCAAAUAUUGAAAUCGGAAUAUACAACAGAAAACAAAGAUAAUAAUGAUAAUGAUAAUAACAAUAAUAAUAAUAAUAAUAAUAAUAAUAAUAAUAAUAAUAAUAAUUAUAAUAUACAAGGUUGUGUGUGUGUGUGUGUGUGUGUAUAUGCACACACACAAACACAUAUACAUAUAUAUGUGCAUACAACUUCACGUUCACAAUAGAAAAACAAACGAAUAAAAAAAUCGAAUACGUAAAAAAGUAGGAAAGACAAAUCUCAAAAAAAGGACUCUAAAAAAAAAAAAAAAAACUUUUUACCAACAUAAAUAUGGCGAUUUUAAAGGAUAAACACGAAAUUUUAACACAGUAAGUACCAUAUGUUAUAUAGAUAUAAUGUAAUAUUAUAUACUACAAUGAUAAUAACACUGAAUCUCUCUCUAGGUUAUCAUAUAUAAAAAUAUAUAUAUAUAAUCUAAUUGUAUGAAUAUCAAACUGGAAUUUAAAAUGAAACGGAUAGUAAAAAUUUAAUAAUUUUAAAGCUAACAAAAAAAAGAAAAAACACCAAGCUGCACAGAUCAUUAAAUCAUAAAACUCCCUUCCCAGAUUUUAAUGACUGUAUAGGCCUAUUGUUAUGAUUGUCAUUACUAUUGUUAUUUCAAUGGUGAUUCAUAUUAUUAUUAGUAUCAUUAUUAUCAUUAUUAUAGGCAUAUUUAAAAAUAAUGUCUGAGGAAAACGCGAAAAAGAAUAAUAAAUUUGGAUAAUUGAAUAGUUAAAAUUAAAGAAUAAAAAAAGUAAAACAAAGCAGUGAAAAAAGCAACCUAUACAAGAUUCGAAUCUGUGUAGAAUGGACCGUCCUAUCGCCGCAUGUUUUUACGAAAGUUCAACCCCUCUUCCCUUCUCACAAACCCUCAUCAUUAUCCCUUAUCAAUCGCAACGAAACAACGGUCUAUAUAUGGGGCCGUUUAAAUAUUACAUCACGCUUUCGGGGGGGUGUGCAAAAUUGCCGGAAAUAGCGUGACGUAAUAUUUUAAUGACCCCUAACUAAUCAUUCGUAGGUACACAUACGUAUAUACACUCGAGGGGAAAUAAGGUUUUUGUUUAUAUAUAUAUAUAUAUACACACACACCGAUGAUUGCUGAUUAUUCAUUCUUCUUUGGUUCGUUUUUAUUCGUGGUGAUAAUAUGUUGAUCUUAAUUUAUUAUUUUAACGAUAUAUUAUACGCAUAUGUAUAUGUGCAUAUUACUCGUAUAUGUAUAAUGAUGACGCAGUAUUGGAUACAUGCAUUCGUCUAUAUAUGUAUGUGGUACGUACAGACACACAAAACACAGAAACACACACACACACACACACACUCUCACACGGAGAAGAAACACAUACUGGUGCUAUAAUAAUAUCUCGUUCGAAAAUUUUUUUUCCGGUUCUCUGAAUGAUGAAAUAUUCAAAGUUUCGAAGCAGCGCAUGUAAUGUAUAUAAUAUGAAUACGUACUCGUAGAAAAGGAUAGAAAAUGGAAAAAAAAAAUUACGAUAUAAAUAGAGGUAAAGAGAAAAAGGAAGGAGAAAGACAGACAGAGCGGAGGGUGAUGAUAUGAGAAAAAAGUGAAAAACACAAAAAAAAAAAAAAAAACUAUUGUUCCUGAUGCGUUGGUAUCAACCGCCGUACUUUAUCAUUAUCAUUACUAUAUUCUAUUUUUUCUCAUACUCUCAUAUUUUAUCGACAUCCAAUAUUAUAUCCGUUUUUUUUUUUUUUUUUUUUUUUUUUCGAGAAACAUAUAUUUUUACUAUUCUUAUUAUGACAAUUCUUUUUCAUCUAUUUUUCUCGGAAACCCCCCGAUGACUAUUAAUAACUAAUUAACCAUUAUCACUAUAGAUGAUAUAAACUUGUACGAAAUAAUCUUUAGUAUUUUGUUUAUUGCUCGUACGAUUUCGUUUCACGUUUUUUUUUUUUUUUUCCAUUUUAUCAAUUGUCUUCGUAAGUUGAAUUUUAAAUUCGUGUACCAAGUAAGGAUUUCAUAGGUAUCAUAAGUGCGAGGAUAUAUAUAUAUAUAUAUAUAUAUAUAUAUAUAUGUAUGUAUGUAUGUAUGUAUGUAUAUAUAUAUAUACAUAUUAUUAAUAGAUAUAUAUUGUAUAUGUAUAUAUAUGUUCUUUAUACUACAAGAAAACUCUGAUUAAAUUUUCGGGUGAUUAUACACGUUAGAGAAAAAAAAUACUAAUUCAAAAUCAUUACGUACUUUUAGUUUCUCUAAUAAUAUAUUAUAUUGUAUAUCCAAGAUAUAUGAUUAUUAUUAAGAAAAACAGAAAAAAAUUAAAUAAAAUUAAAAAUAAAUAACCUUUCAUUAUACAUGUAAUAAUUGUAUAGUAAUAUAUUAUAGGUGGUUAUUAUUAUCAUUGUUAAUAUUAUUUGAUUUUAUUAUUAUUAUUAUUAUUAUUGUUGUUGUUGUUGUUGUUGUUGUUGUUGUUGUUAUCAUUAUUGUCAUUUUUAUUAUUACGGUAUAUGUGGCAUAGACUAGCUAGGGUCCGUGCGCGGACCACGCAUUUACGAAUCAGAUGAUCCUCAUUUUUAUACUCCUAAAGUAAAGUGCGAAAAGAAAAAAAAAAAAAAACGACUUUGCAACGGACAAAAAACGAAACGUGUAUAAAUAACAGUAAUCGUAUAAAUUAAAAAAUCUCCCACCCCAAUACUACAUAUUAUAAUGCACAUGAUGUAUAAUAAUUAGUUGAUUAAUUGGUAUGAUUAUACAUAUUUACUUACCGAGGGGUAUAAAAUUAACUAAUUGACAGACUAGUAAACUGAUCAAUCCGUUGGUCAAGUAAUACUUAUACUUUAAUAUGAUGAAUACCGGAUUAUAAUAUUAUGAAUAACGACAACGCGGUGAUUAAUAAACUAUAUAUAUAAAUUAUUUCUCGAAUAAUAAUAGUAAUAAUAGUAAGAUAGAAGUUAUAACAAUAAAAUAUUAAUAAUAAGAAAAUUGUGAUCAAAGAGAAACGAAAUGAAAUUUUAUUAGAUACAUUUGGGCAGAAAGGAAAAGAGUGAGGCAAAGGAACUUUGAACAAACUUUUUCAGUAUUAUUUAUUGUUUUAAUUAUUUUUUUUUUUUCAAAUUUGACUUUAUAUUUAUCUUUGUUUCUUCUGUGUUUCUAAAAUUCCUCAUAAGUUAUACAAAUACAUGGACUUACGUUCUAAUUUAAAGUAGAUGUAAAGUACACAAUAUGAAGCCUUUACGAUAAUAUAUGAAAUAUUCUUUAAUAUUAAUUAGCAUUAUUAUUAUUAUUAUUAUUAUUAUUAUUAUUUCAUCGUUGCUACUGAUUAUAAAAAUUAGAUUCUCAAUUAUUAUGUAUACAACAUUCUGUUCUAGUAUAUUUGGAUCUAUUUUUUAAAAUGAUAAUAAUAAUUGUUCCCCGUCGUGAUAAAAAGAUAUGUUACGUCGAUUUUUACACCAGUGUCUGUUUCGCAUGUUUUCGGCCUCGGAACGCAGAUGAUAAUACAUGCAUUCUCCUCGUGCCGGAGACGAUAAAGCUGAUGAAAUCAACAUUUUUCAAAUUUGAUAAAGGAUUGACGAGAACGAUUCUCCUAAAAUUGCGAGGUGGAUCGAGGAUCGAAUAAUGGCCACCGGUGCCUGCACAGUUGUUUUUGGCUGCCGUCACCGGGAAUCGAAUUGAUAAUUCUUGUUCGCUCUCUUCGGAGUUGUCGUGUGAAUUCACCCGACGAAUAUGCGAUUGAGGAAUUAGUUUUUCAACUUGAUCCUUUGAACGGUACCAUACUUUCGAACUAGUCAUGUUGUCGUAUUAGGUUAGGUUAGAUUAGAAGUUCGUUAGUUCUGGGAAUGAACAGAAUCCAGACUAGAAAGACCUCGUUUUCGCCAAUCUUGAGAUAUAUUUUACAAUAAUUUGAUUUUUUAUUUCUUUUUUUGUUCUCUCUACAUGUCGACUCAGGAGCAGAAAGCUUGUGUACAGAAUAUUACAUACGUGACGAAGCUGUAUGACAUGCAUACAACAAUCACAAGUGAUUGAUAUUCAUUAACUAAGUAAUUGAUUAACUAACUGUCGACAUAAAAUUGAAUAAUAAAUCACUAUUAUUAAAAUAUCGUAUUAUAUCGUAUGACGCAUAUAAAUGUUCCUGUACAGCAUUUAAGAAUCAAGUAUAUACAUAUGUAUGUGUAUAUAUAUAUAUAUAUAUGUAUAUAUAUAUAUAUGUGUGUGUGUGUGUAUAUAUAUCUAUAUAUAUGUAUAUAUAUAUAUAUGUGUGUGUGUAUAUAUAUAUAUAUAUAUAUAUAUAUAGACAUGCUACUCUCGAUGUAAGACCUAAUACAUUUUAAGAGAAACAAAUGGUAAGGACAAGCAACCAAAGUAAAGGAAACAAUUUUUAAACAAAUAAAUAAGGAUCUUAACGGGAGUGAACGAAAUGUGGAAUUGAAACUUUGGUAUCAGUAUGGAAAGGUUUGCUACUCAAUAGUUCAACGGUAUACUGUUUAUUGUCUGUGAAAAUAAUAAUACAUCAUUAUUAUGUUACAAUAAUUAUGACUAAUAUACAUAUACGGUAUGUAGUUUUACUUAACGUAAAAUUAUAUACCUACAUCUUCAAUAUACUUUCAUAUACAUUAUAUGUAUACUACAAUUAUAAAUUGUAUACACUAAAUAUUUCAAAAUUCUGUUCUCCUUUUAUUUGCUUUCAACGUUUAUCGCGAGAGGUGGGAAAGGGGGAGGAGAUUUAUUCAAUUCUAAUUAUACACGAUAUCAAUACUUGCAUCGUUUUAUUAUUUGUUAUUGAUUAGGAAAUAUUUUUAAUCUUUAAUAGUAAUGUGAUAUACGUUCGCAAUAAUAACAGUAAUGAUAAUGACAUUAAUAAUAGUAAUGAUGACAAAUUGAUUGAUCGAUUAACGGCAAUGAUAAUAAUAAUAUUUAAUUACUGUAUGGAGAUUCAGAACACUUUAUGACGAUCGCAUGUCUUGCCCUUCGAUACCAAAAUGUAAAAUUGAUCGAUACAAUUAAUACAGCAAGAAACAGAAAAUCAAAUGAUCGAUUAAUUAAUCGUUGAACUUGUAUGUCCAAAACGUGAUUGCUGCGUUUAUAAAACGUUAUUCCGAUUGAAGUCUGAAACGAGAGAAGAAUACAUAUAUAUAUACAUAUAUAUAUAUAUAUAUAUAUAUACAUAUACUAUACUUAUAAGUACGUACACAUAUAGAAAGAAAAGCAUAACAAAAAUAAUAAAAUGAAAACAAAUAAGUGGAAAAAUAACAUUGAAUAAAAUGUUUCAAAUUGAACAUCAAAGCGUUAAAAAAAUAAUAAUAUUAAACCGGUGUAGGACGGAAUCAGUGACAGUUUUUCAGCCUCUCAAUUCCUUAAGCCUAACCUAACCUAACCCUAAAUUAACCCUCAUCAAUUCCACUUGAAGUCAAGGGGCUUUUUGCGAGCAGCUGGAAAUUUUUCCCAAUGUAAUUUUCAAAGAAAAAUAAACAAAUAUGUGCGUAUAACAUGCUUGUGUAUACAUGACUCAAGCCCGCGCACAAAAUUCUCGUAAUCGAAAAGUAAUAAUCGCCGAUUAAUAAUUGUCUAUUCUGUGUACACAUGAUUUGAAAAUAUACGAGAACUUGGUCUAGAAAAUUAUUACAUAUGAAUGAUAAAUUUGAACCAUUCGUCAAAUAUGGAAUGCGUCUUAUUCUUUCUUACUGUUUUGAAUUAAUUUCUAUCGCUGAUUGAUCAUCAAUAACGGGAUAAACGAUCUCUGCAUGGUACAUUCUUCAUCGAUGUUACACACAGAAGCUACGUCAAACGAUUCGCUUGAGGAAAUUGUUACGCGCUUUCAAUGAGAAGACUUGAUUCCCGCCAUAUAUCGAAAAAAUGCGCGAGCUUGCGCAUGCGCUUAAGAAACGGCGCGAAAUUUUCGCAUCCUCUUGAUUCUUUUUGCUGCGUCGUUGUUUCUGCUGCUCCAGCUAUUAAAUUGCGUAAUCAAAAAUACAUACGCGGUCUAACGGAAAUUAAUAAUUAGUUUGUAGAGGUAUAAAAUUAUACCUGGUAUCCAAAUAUCGAUGAUAUGAAUACCGAUGAUAAAUUGUUCGAUAUCUAUUAACGAUGGAUGUAUGGGAAGAAAUCUGUUACGUGUUUUUCUUUCUAUUUUUCUUCAAUUUACUUAAAGUUUUCUUGCAAUUAUUAUUCUGAAUGUGUCAUGCUUAUUUAAAAGGACGUCUGCGGUAAAUAUCUUGCUUAUUACUCGACCUAAACGCGGCCAUCGUUACUGCCUAGGACCUACAUGUUAUUAAUAUAACCUAUAAAUAUAAUACACAUAGAUAUAUGGUAGCUUAACGCAAUCCUGGCAUAAUAAAAAGUUAUAACCUAGUACAUAACAAGUGUAUGAUAGCCUAUACAAAAUAUUUAAGUAUAGCUUAAUAAACUAUUUCAUCUCGCUAUAAGUAGGAAUUAGAGGUUAGUUUACUACACUGUCGAUGUUGUUCAGCUACAUUUAUUAUUAUAUCGUAUAUUAUUAUCCAUAGCAUAAUGCUUAUCGCUAUAUUUAACGUAUAUAUUUAAGCAUACAAGUGCAAGCACCCAUGCUGAUGUUCCACAGCACCUUGCACUUCCGCUUCCUGCUGCCGAUGAGACAAUUCUGCAUGGCGCCACCAGACGGCAAAUGAUCUAACUUUAACUUAUAGUGAUAUGUUGAAAUAUUUCCAACUUUUUGCAACUUCCGAAAAUCAAAAUAGAAUCUUUUCAAAUAGCAUAUGUACCUAGUAAACCAAAUCGGAUUGAGUAAGGCGAAAAUUGAAUUGACAGAAUUGAAAUGAAAUUAAAACAAAUUCAAAAGAAUUGGUAAAUAAGUCUUUAGAAUUCGCUUCAAUUCGAGCUAAUUUCUUUUUUGGACGUACUCAAUUCCAAGCAAUUCGUUUUGCUUCACUGGGUAGAGCUGCGAUCAAUCCGGCUUCUGCUUUACAUUAUAUACUGUGGCGGGAUGCUUCACGUACACCCCCCCCCCCCCCCCUCUCCUUCACCCCGGCCCCUGACUCCAAGUGUUUAAAUUAAUCGAGAGGGAAACAAGAAAUUCCAAAAAAUGGAUCGGAAGAACGGCAAUGAGGGAAAAUAAAUAUCUCGGUGUAAUGGCAACGAUAAUAAUAAUUGGAAUGAAAAUUAGAAAAUAAAAUUCAACAAAAAGAACAAGAACAGGAAGAUGAAGAAAAAGAAGGAAAGAAAAAUUGUAUCCCUGAAGUGAAAUAAACUCUGUGUCCGCAGAAUAAAAGACAUAUACAGUAUAUAUGAUACAAAUAAAUGCACACAUAUGAAUCGGUAAUAUAUACAUACGAUGGUAUGAUAAUAACAGUAAUACUAAUGAUGAUGAUGAUAAUAAUAAUAAUAAUAAUAAUAAUAAUAAUAAUGUUUUGAACUUGUGCAAAGUAUAAUUGCAUGGAAUAGUUAUAGGUACAUAUAGUAUUAUAUAUAAGAGAGGCAGAGAGAGAGAGCGAAAGAGUUAGUACGAAAGAUAUAGAUAGACAGCUAGUUAGGUGGCGAGAGUGAGAAUGAGACAACGAGAGAAAGGGAGAGAGAGAGAGAGAGAGAGAGAGAGAGAGAGAGAGAAAAUCUUCCUUCGGCAGCAUUUACAUAUGUUAUAUAAAUAGUUAUACAUACCGUGAACGUCUUUCGAAGUGAGUCACUUGUAGCAAUUAAUGCAUGAAGGUCUCGGAGUCGUCUCGAUUAAUUGACAAUUAGUCAAUUAGCUACUUAGUCGUUUCGAUUACCUCUACAAUUAGCCCGCUUCGUUAGAUAUUCACGCUAUACGUAUACUUAUAGCGCAUAACUGAAAAUUCACAAUCUAUAUUGAAAUUAAUACGAUCUUCUGUUAUAUAAUAUGCUAAAUAAUGAUAAAAAAAUAAUAAUAAUAAUAGUAAUAAAAACAAUAAUUACGAUGAUGACAACACCAGUUUUCUAUAAUACACUUUUUUCUUUUGUGUAUAAUAUUUGUCGAUAGUAAGUUGUAACUACGCUAAAUUAUAGCGAUCGUACAAAGUGUAAGGAAGUAAAUUUUUUUAUUACGAACACCGUAAUAUUGAUACUUAUGAUAACAAUAAUAAUAACAGCAAAAUAAUAAUAAUAACAAUAAUAAUAAUAAUAAUAAUAAUAAUAAUAAUAAUAAUAAUAACGUCGGUCACACCUAUAUUAACAGUUAUAACUAUUACGAUAAAGAUAGUAAAAAAAUAUCACAAUAAUAAUAAUAAUAAUAGGCAAUAAAACCGCGAUUUUGCGACAAAAUACUUACUUCGAUGAAAAAGGAUAAACCAGAAAAAGAUGUGGCUUAAGACGAAGGAAAAAGUAAGAAACGAAUAUAAGAAUUAUUAUACAAUCUCUGAAGCGAAAUAAAAAAUGUUUGUUAUUUUCAAAUGUAAUUAUUAGGUUACACGUACAUAAAAUUAACAAUAAUUCGAAAAGCGCCUAGCGAUUCCAUUCAUAGACUGUAUACAACGAUAAGAAAAUUAUAUACAUUAAUAAUCGUUUACUGUAACAACGUAUAUAAGGUAAAUUAAAGAAAGACGAGAUAACAACAAAUAAGGAUGGAAAUAAAAAAGUAAUAUACCCUCCAAGUAACUACAACUAAUCGUGCAUAAAAAUGUAAACUCAAAGAGAAUAAAAAACAUGACAAAUCAAUUAUGUAUAUUUGAAUGAAACAUGAAAAUCAGUCACGUGAGUGGUGUAAGAGAAAUUGACACGAAACGUAAUAAGAAGCGUAGAUGCGCAUCAUGGCGCUGAAGUGAAGGUUUUUAAAUGUCAGUUACACGUCGUUUUAGCGUGAAUUAUGCGAAUACCAAUGUACAGGAAUUUCGUGCAGGUUAUCAGACUCAUAAUUUCUUACGCUGAGUUGACAUGAAGUGAAAUAUGGGAUAAAGAACAAGGUUUAUAAUUAAAUAUGCGGCCAUGAAUUUAGGGUUUAAGAUAUCUUCUGCCGCCAGAUGUCACGCUACCACAGUUUCAUUACUAAUGGAAACCUAGUACACCUAAUACACACUCAGUAUAAUAAAAUAUUACCAUAUAUAUUAUUUUUUGAACUAGAAUUUGAAAUAGAAUAUUAUACCAUAUCCAUGCCAACUUAACCUGGGUCUGACCCUUGACCUCUACGAUUUGGCUCGCGAUUUUUUACACUAUUGUUUUGACUCUCGACGGCAGUAAUUUUUUUUUUUUUUUCAUUACGAAUUCUUCUAAUCGAUUUAAACUAUCUAAAAUUUCUUAAAACGAACGUAUUGAUUGACACAAUUUAUAAAUCUGUAAUAAUUCUGAAAAAUCAUGAGUUAGGUGUAAAAAAUGUUCAGCUUUGAGCUGAGGCGGCCGUUGUUCCCUUCUUUGUUUCGAGCUUUCUUCGAAACAAGCAUUAACAAAUAUUAGAAGGAAGAGACAGUUUACUACGGGCGGUUGCUCUAGACAGACGUUUCCAAAAUAAUUAAUAAUUUGCAAUUUGUUUAUCUUGCAGAAUAACAAUCUCUUCGCGAAAUAUCGAAAAAAAAAAAAUGUUUGAAAUUAGUGCUUUCGAGAGUUAAAACAAUCGUAUAAAACAUCACAAGCAAAAUCGGAGAGGUCAAUGGUCAGUUGGGAUGGAAUGUCCUAUAUAUAUAUAUAUAUAUUUACUUGUCAGAUAAACUUAAUAAUUAUUUUAGUGGCAAGUGUGCAUCAAAUAGGGAUUUCUUAACGAGUGUAAAUUUCCGCAUUAGCCGAAGGCGAAGGUGAGCGCGAAUCUCACACGAGUCAAGAAAUCCCUAUAUGCGCACAUGCCAUGAAUCCAAUUUUCUUAUGCUACCUCCGAUCAAAAACUACAAAGUAGUCGAGUUGUUGGCGGAGGUAGCGCUGAAAUUAUAAUUAGGUAUACAUUGUAUGAUUGGAAUAUCGUCGUAAAUUUGUAAAAUAAUAUUGUAGUAUAUUAUCAUAGCAUAAAUAAUACCUUUGUAUGGUGAUUAAAAAUUUCGGGAAUUGUUCCGUGACUAUGACGAAAAAUCAAAAACACUACGGUUGACAAAAUAAGAAAGCAUGACGAAAUUUGAAUCAUUUGUUAUUUCUUUCUAAUUCUUGGUAUAGUUUUUAAUUUGUUGGCAAUUCUUUUUUUUUACAUUUCUCAAUUGUAUUCAAUUUUUUAUAAUCACGAUAAAAAUGAAUUUGAAAUAUCUUCCGCAAUUAUACAUUUUAUUGUUAUAUAAUGUAUUAUUAAUAUGAAUGUACCUCAUAUACCCUUAGUAUAUACCUACAGUAAGAAUGAUUCGGAUUAUAAAUAACAUUAAGUAUAAAUCUAGUGUGACUAAACAUAUAGAAUUAUCCAUAUACAACAUAAUUGGUAAUGAGCGAUCGAUUGCUACAUCUUACUCAUGUUACUAUUAUUUAUUACGAUGAUUGCUGUUGUUGUUACGAUUAUUAUCAAUAUUAUUACGAUGACUACUACCACCACUACACUAUUACCACUACUACUUAUACUACUACUACCUACUAUUACCACUACUACUACUACUACUACUACUACUACUACUACUACUAUUACUACUACCAUCACUACUACUGGUACUACUGUGACUACUAUUACUACUUUUACUACUACUACCUACUACUACUUAAACUAUAUAACAAAAUAUCAUCUGGCGUCCCGAGGGAGGAGAAAAGGGAAACAGAGAGGGAAAGAGAGAGAGAGAGUGAGAGAGAGAAAAAGCCGAAGAUAGCAGGUUAUUAUUAAACAUUUUUUUGAAAAUCGCGAAUACUAUAUGCCGACUGCGUUUAGAAAAUCUUUUGAAAGAACUUGACAAACACGAUGAACUCUUAUAUUUUAUUAUUAUAUACAUGGCUGUUAAGGCGUGGGAAAUGAACGGAAAAAAACUGAUUGAAAUGAAAUAAAACAACGACCGAGAAAAAUGAAAGGAGACAACCAACACAUGACAAAGCCUAAUUUAUAAUGAAGUUAAGAGAAGAAAGAAAAGAGUAAUGAUCGAACUAUCCGCAAUUCAGGGACGCGGUGAGAAUUAUAAAGAAUAUAUUAUAACAUUGUGAUGCGAUCGUUGAUCAAGUAUAUAUAUUAUAUAAUAUGUAUGAAUGACAUAUAUAAUAUAUAUAUAUAUUUGUAAUUUAAGUAAAAAUAAAAAUUACGGUAUAAGUAUACAAAGAUUUAAAUGAAACAAAUAAGGUGAAAUGAAAAUAAUUAGAAAAAGAUAUGGCCCACUGGUUGAGGCCGCUCUCCUCCUACAUUUUCUGAGUACGCUAUAUAAAUAAUAAUAGAUACAAUAAACAGUAUGUAAAAUUGAA